rnacentral:rRNA from 1 species
UACGGGAGGCAGCAGUGGGGAAUAUUGGGCAAUGGGCGAAAGCCUGAUCCAGCAAUGCCGCAUGAGUGAUGAAGGCCUUAGGGUUGUAAAGCUCUUUUACCAGGGAUGAUAAUGACAGUACCUGGAGAAUAAGCUCCGGCUAACUCCGUGCCAGCAGCCGCGGUAAUACGGAGGGAGCUAGCGUUGUUCGGAAUUACUGGGCGUAAAGCGCACGUAGGCGGCUACUCAAGUCGGGGGUGAAAGCCCGGGGCUCAACCCCGGAACUGCCUUCGAAACUAGGUAGCUAGAAUCUUGGAGAGGUCAGUGGAAUUCCGAGUGUAGAGGUGAAAUUCGUAGAUAUUCGGAAGAACACCAGUGGCGAAGGCGACUGACUGGACAAGUAUUGACGCUGAGGUGCGAAAGCGUGGGGCGCAAACAGGAUUAGAUACCCUGGUAGUCCACGCCGUAAACGAUGAUAACUAGCUGUCCGGGCACUUGGUGCUUGGGUGGCGCAGCUAACGCAUUAAGUUAUCCGCCUGGGGAGUACGGUCGCAAGAUUAAAACUCAAAGGAAUUGAC